rnacentral:tRNA from 2 species
GCGGCUGUAGCACAACGGCAGUGCGCCGCCUUGCCAUGGCGGAUACCGGGGUUCGACUCCCCGCAGCCGCUC